CACUUUAUGUUUUGCUUUUGUGGCCCAAGACAUGCGGGGUCUUAACUCCCUUACUAGGGACUGAACCUGCCUCCCCUGCACUGGGAGGUGAAGUCUUAACCUCUGGGCCACCAGGAAAGUCCCCGGGGUAGAUAUUUUUAUUAGGCCCAUUUCCAGUUGAGGAACUGAUGUGCAGAAAAGCAAAUAAGGUAAUGCAAAAUUCAAACUACCAAAUUUUAGAAGAGGUUGGCAAUAGAAAGGAAGGUCCUACUGAUGCUAUAAUGUGAAUUUGAAAAACAUGAUACUUGGUGAAAGAAGCCAGGCAUGAGGAAUCACAUAUUGUAUGAUUCCGUUUAUAGGAAAUGUCCAUAAAAGGCAAAUCUACAGAGACGGAAAGAUAAUCAGUGGUUGCCUGGGGCAGGAGGUGGAAACAGUAAAUGGCACGAGAGAUCUUACUGGGAGAGCUGACAUCUUCUAGAACUGAUUUAUAGUGGUGGUUGUGCAAUUUGAUUAAUGUACUAAAANNNNNNNNNNNNNNNNNNNNNNNNNNNAUGUAAAAAAUGCCUCAAUAACGUUAUCAGACAAAGAAAUGGAAUUAAAAUGUGAAAACCUAAUAUUUACUGAAUACUGAAAAAUAGGGAUUUUUUUCCAGUGCCAACAGCUCAACCGGUUAUUUACCUAAACUCAUCUUUGUUGAGCACCUAUUAUGUGCCAUGCAUCAUGCUGGGAUAUGGAGGUACACUGCCGAACUUGACCUAGUAUUGGCACAAGAUCCUCGACCUGAUGGAAGGUAUGGACUAGCAGCUGUCGGGAGUGAGGUGGUUGUCUGUCUCCANGAGCUCCCCCAGGGUUUCUGGAGCUCUUUCAUCAUUCAUCGCUGUUUCCCCAGAAUUAGCACAAGGAGGAGCUUGUGCUGAAGCAGGAGGUUAGAUAAACAAGAAAAUUACCAACAGAGGAGAGAACGAAGACUGAAGGGCCGUGAUCACAUCUGGCUGGGUGAGGCAGAGAAAGAUUUUAAGACAGGUCCCCAGCAUCCGCGCGGUGCGUCUUUGGGCCCGAGGACCAGCUGGCUCGGCAUAGCCCAGGCCGAUCUCGGGACGAGAAGCUGGGGUAAGCGGUGGAGGAUCCCUCCUGGGUCCACUGCGUGGGCGACGUGCCGGUGCAAGCGCCGCCUCAUCCGGGGAAGGUCGAUCGAGGCCGCGCCACGCUGGACUGGGGGUGGAUGCGAAUGCACCUUCGGAUGCUCUGGUCCCCAGCCCUUCCGGACCGAGGUUCCCCUCACUCCGCGGGAAUCGGGGACCGCGGGAGCUGGGGUGGCUGAAAGAACAGGGUAGCCUCCUUGGCAAAGACCGCGGGGGAGGAGACUCCCUGGCGAGGGAAGCGAGCGCUGCCGAGGCCGCCGGUCCCUUUAAGAGGCCGGGCUGGCUCUGCGGCGAUCCCACCUGACCGCCUGCCUGGUGCAGUUCUGCGGGCCGUGUCCCCGGGAGAAGGAUCGGAGCCGGGCCGGGCCACAGGACCCGGCGCAGGGGAGGGAGGGGUCCAGUCCGGAGCUGGGCGGGGCCUCCGGUUCCCGGAGCGCCGCA
ensembl:lncRNA